UCUUCCGGAGGCCGGUCUCGGAAUCCGAUCCUUCGUCAUCCUUUUCUUCUUCCCUUUUCUGAACUUUUUCUUCCUUUCUUUCUUUCUUUCUUUCUUUCAUGGAAUCUCUUCUUUCCCCAGUUCAAGGUCAAGGAAUAAAGGCUUCGCCGGGGUUUGGUACCCGUAUUAGAAGCGAUGCUCCACUCCUCGCAUCCACGGCUUUUCUCUCCGGGCCUUCGGCUCUCCGUUCUUCGCCUCCAUUCAGAUUCGAAAUGGGAGUGAGAUUGAGCAAAGCAGCUUCCUGGUGGCAAAGAAAAUUCAGCAAGGUAAGACGAAGAGAUCCUGCUGAGCGUACAACCAGAAAUGUGUAUGACCAGCAUGUUCAAGAAAGUAUGGUGGAGGAAAAAGAUUCCCCAGUUUUGGAGAUUGGCAUUCCAUUGAAAUAUUCUCCUGGCAAGGCUUUCCCUCUUGGAGCAUCAAAAGUUGAAGAUGGAAUAAAUUUUGCUCUUUUUUCUCAACAUGCUUCUUCAGUCUUACUUUCCUUGUCACUUCAAGAGAGGAAAAAUGUCAACGAAUAUGGAGGCAUGGUUGAGGUUGCAUUGGAUCCUCAUAAGAACAAGACUGGAGACAUAUGGCAUGUAUGCGUGGAGGGUUUACCUGAUUCUGGUGUGCUUUAUGGCUAUCGUGUUGAUGGUCCUCAGCGAUGGGAGCAAGGGCAUCGAUAUGACAGCAGCAUCAUCCUUCUCGAUCCUUAUGCAAAAUUAGUUGCUGGUCGAAAACUUUUUGGGGAUGUCCCAAACAAGACAUCGAAGUUUCUUGGAACAUUUGAUUUCAGUAGUUUGCCUUUUGAUUGGGGUCCUGAUUAUAAGAUUCCAAAUAUACCUGAGGCAGAUCUUGUCAUAUAUGAGAUGAAUGUUCGUUCAUUCACAGCUGAUGUAUCAAGUGGGCUGGAUCCGGGCACUCGUGGGAGCUAUCUUGGUGUUAUCAACAAGAUCCCACAUUUAUUGGAACUUGGCAUCAAUGCUGUGGAGUUAUUGCCGGUUUUUGAGUUCGAUGAGUUGGAAUUUCAGAGAUAUCCAAAUCCUAGAGAUCAUAUGAUCAACACAUGGGGCUAUUCUACUAUGAACUUUUUUGCCCCCAUGAGUCGGUAUGCUAGUUCUGGUGGUGGUCCUGCUGCUGCAGCCCAAGAAUUCAAACAAAUGGUGAAAUCUUUGCAUAAUGCUGGAAUUGAGGUCAUUCUUGAUGUAGUUUACAACCACACUAAUGAAGCUGAUGAUGAUCAUCCUUAUACUACCUCUUUUCGUGGUAUUGAUAACAAGGUUUAUUACAUGAUGGAUCUCCAAAACAAUGCUGAACUACUCAAUUUCUCAGGCUGUGGAAACACAUUUAACUGCAACCAUCCUGUUGUCAUGGAACUUAUACUGGACAGUUUGAGACAUUGGGUUAAAGAAUACCAUGUGGAUGGAUUCCGCUUUGACCUUGCAAGUGUUCUUUGCCGAGGAACUGAUGGGACUCCUCUAAAUGCACCUCCACUUGUUAAGGCAAUUGCCAAGGAUGCUGUAUUAUCAAGAUGUAAAAUAAUUGCAGAACCUUGGGAUUGUGCAGGACUUUAUCUAGUAGGAAGAUUCCCAAAUUGGGAUAGGUGGGCUGAGUGGAACGGAAAGUAUCGUGAUGAUGUUCGAAGAUUCAUAAAGGGUGACCCUGGUGUGAAGGGAACUUUUGCAACUCGUGUAUCUGGAUCUGCUGAUUUAUACCAGGUAAACAAGCGCAAGCCAUACCAUAGCAUCAAUUUUGUCAUCGCACACGAUGGGUUUACGUUAUAUGACCUUGUUUCCUACAAUUUCAAGCACAAUGAUGCUAAUGGAGAAGGUGGCAAGGAUGGAAGCAAUGAUAACCUCAGCUGGAACUGUGGUUUUGAAGGGGAAACGGAUGAUGUUAAUGUUUUAAGUCUACGCUCACGACAAAUGAAGAACUUCCAUGUGGCAUUAAUGAUCUCUCAGACUCAGACACUUUAUGCUGAUGAAUCAUGAAGAUCAGGUCUACGGUGGCUAGGUUCUCAAAGCUGGACUCCACACUGUUAACUCGAGCCACACGGAUAAACACGGCUCGUAUGGCAGCGAACUAGUCCUUGAUGAAUUUCAGAACAUCGGAGUCCAUGGUAGCUAAGGAGACUUUAGGUUGAUCGGCUUGGUACUUUUUAUCACUACGGGUUGACAUGCAAUAAUAAUACUAUAUAUGAUGAUAUGAAAUGCAAUGUCAAUACUGAACCCUAGCAAAUAUAAUGAUUUCAACCGAUACUAAAAGAUGAUGCAGGACAACCUACUAAUGCAGCCUACUAUGAUUCAGAGAUCAGCAAGCUUUCACAAAAGUAACUUAAAAUUUAAAUGUUGCUGAUUUUACUUCAGUUAUUUCGAAGUUAAAGUAUAAGAUUAAUAAAUUGAAGAAAUUAGGUUGCAAUCAAAUAUUACGGUUGUUCUGAUCCUAAAGUAAAUUAAUCGUUGACGUUGAGAAACGUCCUAUUGCUAGGGUGUGCUAAUUUAAUAACAAAGAUUUAAUGGGUAAUAGGACGGGUUCGGAAGUGAGAGGUUCAAUGUUCCGAAUUUUGAUAGGAAUGUAAGUUUGCAAGAAUAUGACACUAUCAUGCAAGAGAACUAGAACAUAAUUAAAUGAACAAGCCCAAGAAAAGUAGAAACCUAUCACCUGUGGGGUGAUGAUCGGGGCGCAGUCACAGCAAGUGGGUCGUCAAUUGGCGCAAAUAGGGCCUGAUCACAGUAGCUUGGCAAAUCUGUUGUGGGAAUGAAACUGUUGGGCCCAGCAAUGGAAGAAGAGGGGGUCGGCCGCGUGGGCUUGGGCCGUUGUGUGGGUGGGCCUGUGUGUAUGGGCUCAGAAGGGGCAGAAUGGGCCUGUUGUUGGAUUGAAUUUGUGGGCUGGAUGGGCUGUGUCGGGUUGGGCCCGAAAGGGCUAGGCGGAUGGGCGGUUGUGUUGGGUUUGGGCCUGGUGUCUUAGGCCUGUGAAAAGGGGUGAUGCCGAGGGGUUGUUAGGCGGCCUGGCGUUGGGGCGCAGUCUCGGGUGGAGACCUGUUGAGCUUGAUGGGGGAAAAAGGAGAUGAGGGGUUAUGGAUGGGGGGAAGAUGGUGAGAUGCUGAAAUGGUGAAGGGGUUUGGAGGGAGGUCUGGAGCUCGAGUGAGGUCUGGAGGGUGCCAGCCGAAGGGGAAGGGAGGUGGUUCGGUGCUGAGAAGGGAGCCGGUGGAUGGCAAUGGCUGCGGGCGAGGCGGCUCUGCGGCGGUCACAAAGAGGAGGCGAGAGACGGCGAGGCGGAAGCUCGGGCGAUGCGGCUCGAGUGGAGCGACGCUUCAAGGGUGGCGGCAGCUCACGACGUGGGCGGAGGCGGAGCGGCAGCGAUUGGCGAGGGGAGGAGGGAAGCGGCGGCGCGUGGCAGCGAUGGUGGAGGAAGAAAGCGGAGGCGGCGGCAGCUUGGGUGGAGCGGUGCUUCAAGGGUGGCGGUACCGCGGUUCACGGUGCGGGCGGAGGUUGAAGAUGAACAGUUAUAGAGGGAACGCCAAUGAUGCUCAUGGGAGACGAAUGUGGUCAUACACGUGAUGGAAAUAAUAAUAGCUAUGGACAUGACACUGCCAUAAACCAUUUUCAGUGGAGACAGUUGAAAGCAAGAGGCGAUCAUUUUAGAUUUUUCUCAGAGAUGAUAAAAUUUCGCCACAGGCAUCCUAUAUUGCGACGUAAUAGAUUUCUUAC